GAUGAACGCUGGCGGCGUGCCUAAUACAUGCAAGUCGAGCGAACGGACGAGAAGCUUGCUUUUCUGAUGUUAGCGGCGGACGGGUGAGUAACACGUGGAUAACCUACCUAUAAGACUGGGAUAACUUCGGGAAACCGGAGCUAAUACCGGAUAAUAUUUUGAACCGCAUGGUUCAAUAGUGAAAGACGGUUUUGCUUUCACUUAUAGAUGGAUCCGCGCUGCAUUAGCUAGUUGUUAAGGUAACGGCUUACCAAGGCAACGAUGCAUAGCCGACCUGAGAGGGUGAUCGGCCACACUGGAACUGAGACACGGUCCAGACUCCUACGGGAGGCAGCAGUAGGGAAUCUUCCGCAAUGGGCGAAAGCCUGACGGAGCAACGCCGCGUGAGUGAUGAAGGUCUUCGGAUCGUAAAACUCUGUUAUUAGGGAAGAACAUAUGUGUAAGUAACUGUGCACAUCUUGACGGUACCUAAUCAGAAAGCCACGGCUAACUACGUG
rnacentral:rRNA from 1 species